rnacentral:rRNA from 1 species
UACGUAGGGUGCAAGCGUUAAUCGGAAUUACUGGGCGUAAAGCGUGCGCAGGCGGUUUUGUAAGUCUGUCGUGAAAGCCCCGGGCUCAACCUGGGAAUUGCGAUGGAGACUGCAAGGCUUGAAUCUGGCAGAGGGGGGUAGAAUUCCACGUGUAGCAGUGAAAUGCGUAGAGAUGUGGAGGAAUACCGAUGGCGAAGGCAGCCCCCCUGGGAUAACACUGACGCUCAUGCACGAAAGCGUGGGGAGCAAACAGGG